UUGGAUAACUUGGCGAAACGCCAAGCUAAUACAUGAACUAAAGGACGCGUUCUGUUCCGGCGGCGGGGCAACUCGCCGCCUUGGCGCGUCCAGCGAAUGAAUGAAAGUAAAACCAACGCCUUCACCGGCAGUAACACUUAGAAGUGCUGACUCAAUUCAUUCCGUGCGAAAGCUGGGUUUUUUACCUGGCGUCUUUUGACGAACAACUGCCCUAUCAGCCAGUGAUGGCCGUGUAGUGGACUGCCAUGGCGUUGACGGGAGCGGGGGAUUAGGGUUCGAUUCCGGAGAGGGAGCCUGAGAAAUAGCUACCACUUCUACGGAGGGCAGCAGGCGCGCAAAUUGCCCAAUGUCAAAAAAAAACGAUGAGGCAGCGAAAAGAAAUAGAGCCGAGAGCGCCUUUGGCGUUGUCGUUUUCAAUGGGGGAUAUUUAAACCCAUCCAAAAUCGAGUAACAAUUGGAGGACAAGUCUGGUGCCAGCACCCGCGGUAAUUCCAGCUCCAAAAGCGUAUAUUAAUGCUGUUGCUGUUAAAGGGUUCGUAGUUGAACUGUGGGCCUUCGAGGCGCAUUGGUUUUGUCCCGUCCACUUCGGAUCGGUGACCCAUGCCCUUGAGGUCCGUGAACACACAGAACCAAGAAACACGGGAGUGGUACCUUCCUGAUUCUCGCAUGUCAUGCAUGCCAGGGGGCGCCCGUGAUUUUUACUGUGACUAAAAAAGUGUGACCAAAGCAGUCAGUCGACUUGAAUUA
rnacentral:rRNA from 1 species